GACCACUGAAGGGAUGACGAGUUUUCCCUUCCCCAAACCAUAAAUGCGGAAUAGGCAGUGGUAUUACAAACAAACAGUCCAGUGUCCUGUUCAUAUUGCGGGGACUUAUCUUAAAAAAAUAGAUAUACUUAUCUUAGUCUGAGAGGAAAAUGGGUCAACAUUAUCAACAAACGAAGGCGACAGAGAGCACAAAAGAGAGAGCAGCAACGACAACAACAACUGAUAGAAAAGAAACGCAGGAAAGACUGUUUGACUUGGGAUUGGUCCAGCAGGAAAAACAUUCUGCACAUUUCCAUCAGGAAAUGGCAGCAGCUGACUUCUAUUUGGGACAAUUAUAAGGAGUUUGAAAUGAACAUUCCUGUAUUGUCAGGGCUGGGAGAAGACGACUGUUCUUCAGGAGACUUGUUGAUUUAUCUUGUUUAGAAGAAUGGCAGCACUCUAACAGGAGUAGUCUUUAUGAAAAAGCAGUUGACUACAUUGCUUCAAGACAAAUGAAACUUACAUUCUGCCUUUCACAAAUUAUGUACGUUAAAGGGUCUGCUUGUUUUUUUUUUUUUUUUUUGUUUUUCUUUCCCAGCCGUCAGCCAAAAAUAAAGAAAGAAUUAAGUGAUUCUUCCAAGACCUCUUGGGACCGCUCCUUGACAGUUCACUCCUACAAUUAAGCCUGGCUACCAGUUCUACUCCAAUCCAGAAAACCAGGUGUUGAAUAAACAAAGCCUACUGGUUUUGGCAGCUUGAGUGAAGAUCAAUGAAAAACAAUCUGGACCUACAGUUCCAGAGAUCCAUGCAGUUGUGAACCUGAAGAUUAUGGAUAUUUCAGCUGUAGACUGGAACAUCAAGAAAUAGGAAACAUACACUAGUGUGCUGGGUGCUUGCCCUCUGCAACAGUCUGUUUUUCCAGCAGGGAAAGCUCUACCUGAAGGAAAGCCCAGCUGUGAACGCUGCCAGAGACUAAACCUACUGGUAACAAUCCAUCUCCAAAUACUAAUCUGAAAACAGCUGCCAGGGGAAAAUAAUAAUAAUAAUACUACUACUACUACUACUAAUAAUAAUAAUUACCACCUCCCCUUUGGUUUUGCUUAUUUAAUUUACAGUCCUUUUUGACCGUUUUUUUUGUUAAAUCAGUUAAGGUUCGUCUUUUUUAGCACCCAUAGAGGGUGCUAAUUAGUAUUUUUGUCCAGCUGUCUAUGGACAGCUGGUGUAGUCCCGUCAAACGGACCUUAAAUAGGACUACUACUACUACUAAUAAUAAUAAUAAUAAUAAUAAUAAUAAUAAUAAUAAUAAUAAUAAUACUUUGAAGUUGCUACUAAUUUAUCCAUAGAGUAAACAAACAGUUCAUCAUAAACUGUUCAUACAUUGCCCAGCUAGGUAACUCAAAAAAAUAAAAUAUAAUUAUUAAACACUAUAGCCAGCUUAGUAAUUUUAUAGAUGCAUAGACAUGAAAAAAAAAAAAAAUCAUAUCAUUUUGUAAUGACAAGUACUGUAGUACUGUAUCUAACAGUUUUUUCAAUAAUUAGAAAAAAAAAUGACUGCAAUACAAAAUCCUGUAAUUUUGUUUUAUUUAUGUACAGGGUAUAGAGAUAGAUAGUGAGUUAAAAAAAGGGUCUUCUGAUAGCACUGUCAACAUUAGUGGAUAAAAAUGAACAGCACAGGAAGAGGGGUAUCCAGACAAUAGACUCCACACUAAAUUAUCAUGAACGAAUGGCUGUUAAAUAUUUCUCUGACCUUUUUCAGUAUGCAAACGUACUCACUCUGUGGAAUAGCAAAGGUGGACGUGUGAUUUUGUUAAUUGCUUUGCUAAGACAGUAUUAAAUCUGAACCACUUCUACGGGCGCCUAUAAUCCCACAUCUAAUAAAUAAUGCUAAUUCAUUUAGAUUAGAAAAAUUGCUUUUUCUUAAAUGGUAUUUAUUUAUGUUUUGUUCUGAAAACAGUUCUGCAGAUUUGUUGUUUUUUUUGGACUGAUUUUCCAUGGAAAUGUGUCGUGGAAAUAGCUUGGCAUCUGAGCCUAUUGACUUGAAUAGAGAAGCAAGCACUCAAUGUGAACUGCUAACCGUGCUGGUCAAAGAUGAAUGUGCCACCAUUCAAUUAAAGAGCAGGCUCUGUAGAGGUAAGUCCUCAUCAGCCACUAGAAGGAAAUCUCCAGACUCAGGGAGCUUCAACCUCAGACGUGACUUUAGAGAGCAUCACGUGUCUCACAUGCUACAGUUUACAGUGCAAUGAACAUGGGCAUUAACUGCUCUGUUUCAACCACAGGGGUCAGAGUAGUUCCCAUAAUCAUAAUAAUAAUAAUAAUAAUAAUAAUAAUAAUAAUAAUAAUAAUAAUAAUAAUAAUAAUAAAUCAUAUUAAUAAUAAUAUCUUUAUUUUUAUACGGCAUCUUUCAUAGUGGACCACCAUCACAAAGUGCUUUACAGAGGUAGGCUGUGAACUGUCACUUACAAUAGGACGUUGAUUUAACAUCUCAUCUGCAGGAUGGAGGUAAGGUACCACUGCAAUGAACUGACAUAUCAGCCCAGUGAAUUGAAUGGUACACAAACCACUAACCUCACGGUUCAAAGAGUGUCUUGUCAUUCAACUUAAGAGCAAAAUCCGUUGUCGUGAGGUAAGUACAUGUCUUACACUGAUAUAAAUAUUAUUACUGCAUGAGCCAGUAAGAGGAGGUUCAUUACAGUGCGUGAUGCUAGUAUGUACAAAUGCCUUACGUUGCUUUUAAAUUUAAAUUCAGCAUACUGUGUUAUGUUUUCUAAGGAUUUCACGAUGGUAGACUGAAGUAAACUAUGAGGAUUACAUUUGUUUUAAUACUGGGAAGUUCACAAUGUAACCCUGUUUUUCUGUGAUAGGCUUUUUAUGGGUAAAAACCAGAUGUGACCUUGCUUUACAUAUAAACUUACUCAAUUUCUCAAAGGCAGUUUGCACUUGGAAACCCCUAAUUUAUCUAUGAUUUUUUUCCGCAUUUGCACUGCACUGGCUAAGUAUUAAAUUCAGGAUUGAUUUUAAGAUCCUGCUUCUUACUUAUAAAGCCCUUCAUGAAUCGGGGCCUUUGUAUCUGCAGGAUCUGAUUGUACCUUAUACUCCCAGUCGCACUCUACGGUCAGCAAGUGCUGAUCUUUUGGUCAUCCCUCGCAGUCACUUAAAAUCAGGAGGAGGAAGAGCUUUUAGUUGUUGCCCACCCCAUCUCUGGAACUCUAUUCCAAGUGAUGUUAGAGCUGCGGCUAAAAUUGAAUCUUUUAAGUCAGGUUUAAAGACGUAUCUGUUUUCUCGUGCUUACUGUUAGGCUGGGUUGUUAGCCAUUACUUUUUGUUGUAAAGCACCCUGGGAUUUAAGAACAUAUUGUAUUGUAUUGUAUUGUAGUUCACAUACAAUAUACAGUUUAACUUAAUACACUGCCAUCUGUCAGCUGACAAGCUCUUUCUCCCAAGUACAAAUCCCUAUUACACAUAAAAAAUAAAAAUAAACCAUGAUGUUGCAGAGAACACCGUAAUCUUUUCAUCCAUUUACAGCUUCAAAUGAGUGUUGAGAUGCUUUUGAAUAUUAAUUGACUCAUUCUCCUGGCCACACUGUGUGCCAAGAAUAUGAAAUGUCUGUGGAAUCUAAGGAUGUUUGAUUGUCAACACAACACUGUUUUUUCUUUUGACUGCAAUUAGACGCAUGCUACAUCACAUGCUGAUGAAAAUGAGGGCCAUUUUGGGGACAUGAAGGAAUGAAGGUCAAACAGUUUAUGGAAAAGACAAUUAAAGGAUGACAUGUAGGAUUAUUACCUUUUUGGUGGACUGAUAUAGGAGGAGGUUGGGUGGCUCAGUAGAUCAGUGAUGGGUAGCAAAUGAAGCAUAUCUUGAAAGCAUUUGCUCAAGUAUUUAAUUAAAUCCACAUUUUCUCAAACUCAUUUUCUCACAAUCAGCCUUGGGGAGGGUUUUUUUCCCAGAGGCAAUUUUUUUUCCUUGAAUAAUAAUGCAAAUAAUGAUCUAAGCAGAAACAAUAAUAGAGAAAUAUAUACAAUGCAUAUCAUUGUACAUCAAACAGGUAAGAAUAUUAGGAAAGUGUAGAUAAUACAAAGCUCUCUUUAAGAGAUGGUCUGUUUUAAUUAUCUAAACACAGGCGUAUCUAAAUACCACUGCUCUGUAAUGCUUUGCUUAACCUGCUGGUGCUAUCACACAGGAUUGGUUUACUUACUGCACCUGUUUAUUAAUAUUAUUAUAUUCAAUAACAAAUAGUGAUAUUAGAUCUACAAAAACCCAGCAUUUGAAUAAUUUCAAUUAGAACCACUGUGAAUAAUUGCAGAUAUUUUUAAACUUUUCCAAGACAUAAAAUAUAGACUGAUAGUGAUCCAAAUUGAUUUCCUUGUCAUUGCAAUUUAAAGGCUUAUGUCAAAUGAGUAGUCACACAACAGGUCUUAGUGCAAAAGUGUCAACAUCUUAAUAAUGCCACUGCAGUUAGCCCAGGUAUAUCAGAGGAUAUUACAGCUGUCUUUGAUAUAUGUUGGUCUUUAUUCUAGUGGGCCAUUUGUCGACUAAUGUUGGUCUCUUGGGUUCAAUCAUGUAUCCAUCACCAUUGACAAUGUGUUUGAAAUGGCGAAUGUUCUUCUUCCAUUGGUGGUGAGGUGAGUCCUGAAGGAGCUUCUAUUUAUACUCUGUAAGUUACCUAACGAGUAUCUGAUCCAUUCUAUUUUUUCUGUCGAGUAUUCCUCCAACAGUGUUCUUGCUUUCUAGUUGCCUUGCUAACAUACAAUCUUGGAUAUACAACACUGUUCUCUUGUAGAUUCUGAAUAAAAGAGAGGUCAUUUUGUUUUAAAAUAAAUAUAGGAGCAAACAUCUGCUGUAUUGUAUAAUACCUGAUCUAAUGACAAUGAAAAAUAUUCCUACCCCACUAUGGGAGACUUUUGCUUUGGGCCUGCGCUACAUUGCUCUUCAAACAAAAGGAAUACAUGUGUUUUUAUACAUAUCUACCUUUGUUCUGUUCAGAGUUAAGCCCUGUAAGCUUGCAGAGAAGAUCCAGUCUUCCAUCUUUUUAUUUUCAAGCAGCUCUUGCUAGAGGCGGAUCAGAUAAUGCCCAUGUUUCUUCACAGUUCAUAAUCAGUCAAGAUUAAUAGGAAAUGUACAACUUGCAAUGCAGUAACUGCCAUGCUUUGCAAACACCACCACCCCCAACAAACACCUCUAACCCACUGUCUCCCUGAAUCUAAGGCAAGCAUUCUUGUAAUGUGCCCAAAUAAGUCAUCUCCACAUUCGGUAUGUUUUAUGAUUCAGCUCUGUGCACACCCACAGUGGUUUACAGUGUAAAUAACUAUGAUCAUGUUCUUAUCAGUAGUCAAAUUAGUAGUCGAAGUUUAUCAAUUGUAGCUUAAAAAAAAAUAAGUAAAACCACAAGCGGAAAAAGCAUCUGUAAUUAUUCCAAAGGAUCUAAUAAAUACACAUUACAGACUUGUUUUUGUUUUUAAAUACUUCACCAGUAAAAGGUGACUGUAGUGGGUUAUUUUCUUAACUGGUAUUUCUUUUACUGGUUAAGUGUCAUGAUUUUUAAUUGCUUUUUAAUGUAUUACCACAUCAUUUAGUCCUUUCUCUACACGAGGCUUCAAAGCACUGAAAACACUCGUGAUGACAGUUGGUUUCUAUUAAAUUGCUGUUUAUUGUAUGUAGUAAUAUAAUUAGAGCAGUAUUCUUGGAGGCAUAACAUUAUGAGAAUCAUAUUUCUUUGCUGAAAGGUGCCAGAACACUAAAGCAGUGAUACAUUUAUAUGUAAAAAAAAAAAAUCUUAAAAAAUGUAAUAUUUAAACUUAUUAAAUAUUGAUGCAUUGUUCUCGUGCCACACUGAGGUAAUUGUUUUUUUGUUUUUUUAUCAUCUUUUUGCUGCUGUGUUAAUCAUUACCAACUAAAAACAUUUUACUACCACAUAUUAUUGGGGUUAAUAAAUUUGAAAAAGCUGAGCAGAAUUAGCCAAGUUGCCACUCAGAUGUAUGCACCUGCCAAGCUUAUUCCGAAUCUGUUAAAGAUGCUGCUGGCAAUGAGUGCAAGAAGGCUGGUGUUCUUAAAUCAAUAAACCAAAUCAAAGAGUAUUAGAUGAAAAAUGUAGCCUAUUUAGAUAUACUUCGACAAAUGUAAUGUAGUUAUAUGAAAAUGCUUCACAAAAAGAUCAUUUAAAAUUGCAAAUCACUUCCCUGUUAGAAAUUCCAGCAAGGGUAAGGAAUUUUAAACCAGUCCUUUUGAAUCAUUGCUAGCAGGUUGGUAGACUUGUUGAUAGCUUUAAAAUCACAUGGAGUAAAGAUUAAAGUUUUUCAUCUGUGGAUAGCAGUUUUUUUCUUCUUAAACAUGUUUUCUAAAAUGUCCCCUAUUGAACUUACAACUCACAUUUUUAAUGUGGCAUGUAUGUUGUGAGGGUUCUAAUGACAUACACAGGCACAAGGUUGUCUGGUUAAUUAGAAAGAUUUGUUGUUUGUCUUCAAAUGCCAUUUAUUUUUGCAACAAAAAUCUUACUGGGGGACGGGGCUAAGCAUGCUAGUCUCAGGAGUAGCAGUAAAGCAAACAUUUACUCCCUCCUUUUGCAAAUUUAUGCUAUACAGUAUAGCAUACUCUGUGUUUAAAUAAAUACUACCAUAUAAAGAUUUGAAUUGAGUUGCUUGUGAAUGCUUAAGGCAGGGGUGUCAAACUCCAGUCCUCAUGGGCUGCAGGGUCUUCUGGUUUUCAUUUAAACUUAAGCUUUCAAUUAACAUAAUUGAUCUAAUUAUUUGUUCAAUUUGACAUAUUUAAUAUUUUUCAAGGUCUUUUUUACAGUUGAUGGUUUUAAAAAUGCCCUUGAUUCAAGGUACACUACCUCUGAAGCAUUUUGAGGCCUGAAGAGAAGUGUUAAAUGUGUCCAGUUAAUCAAAUAAUUAGACCAAUUAAGUAAUUGAGAGCUUGGGUAGAACGAAAGCCAGAAGACACUGUGGCCCUCCAGGAACUGAGUUUGACACCCCUGGCUUAAGGAUUUAGAUUUAGACUGUAACAAAUGAGAGCUUUGCAGUAAUACAACAAUCACGAUUCUUCCUAAGUUUAGAAGUGAAACUACAGGUUCCUGCAGCUGAAUGGGGUAAAGAACGUGUUUUGCAUGCUCAUGAUAUUAGGGCUGUAGAUCCACUUUUACCUGCUUGGAUCAUGUAUUGGGGAAUACGCAUCUGGGACUGGGCACACCUAGCAGAUUGUUUUCUUUAACUAUUACUAUUAUUUUAAAAGUCAUGUCAAUAGAGUUUUCUGAAGAACAUAUUUUUGUUGUUUGAUUUACUGUUCCAUGUGCUAUUUUCAGAUUUAGUUAGUUGAAUUUCAAACUUUAUUUAAAUAAGAAGAAGAAGAAGAAGAAGAAGAAGAAGAAGAAGAAGAAGAAUACCCAGGUUAAAGCUCUUCUUAUGUGUUACAGUUAUAGCAUCAUGUAUUAUAGUGAAUAACAUUAUUAGUCCUGCUACAUAAUAAACCCUGCUGGUGGCGUUGGUAAAGUACUUGAGCUUCACUCUCAUGGUUUAGAAUAGCAAACCUCAUGAUGGACUUACGGCCUCAGUAAUUAUGUACAGUUGGAUGCACGUUUUCUCCUGUAGAAUUUAAUUGAGUUCUGACAAUGGAUUGAAUAAUAUGAGGAUAAAGUUCAAAAGGGGUUAUUCCCUAUGAUUUAUUUAUUUUUGUAAAUAUUUUGUAUUAAGAAUUGUGGAUUAUCACACAGUUGGUUUUAUUGUAGGCUCAACCUCACCUUAGGAACACUGAUUAUGUCAUACAUUUUCACAAGAAUGCAUUUAUCCUACCCACUAACAUAGUAGGUUCGAAAUAGGAGCAAGGUGGAGUGCACUGAUUAUAAUUGCAGCCUUUAAAUUCUAGUCAACUACAAAUGGGUGACGUCAUUUGUUUGCAGUUUAUAUUAUUUAUAAACAAAGACAUUACAAAGCUGCUUGAAGGCUAAUAACUUUAAAAGUGAGCAUUAACAGAUAUCGUAAUACAUGCCGAGUUACAGACAAGACACAGGAUUUGGAAGUAUAAUUAACAUUUCAGUGUUUAAACCAAGCUGCCCAGGAUGCUGAAUAAUACUAAAGGAAAUUAUAAUACAUUUUGUUCUCUGCUUCAAAACUAGCUGGUAUUAGUUCAGUCACUUACUAUGCUGUGACAAAAGAUGGAGAUGAUAACACAUGUUUUAAUUAAGACACCGUUAUUCCUGGGGUCCAGGUCUUGCAUUAACUAAGUGCUGGGAAUAUGGGGCUGUUACAAUACUGUACAAACCAGACUGUUCUCUGUCCUCUACUCCACUCUUAAAACCUAAUCUUAGCAACUGUGAAACCCCAAAAUACGCAUAGCUAAUGUGUCACUUACAGUUUGUACUUGUAUGAUUUCAUCCGGAAGUUGGUGGGGGUAAUAAAAAAAAUCUGGCCUUAAUUGUCACUCAGAAUGUGACCAUAUAGUGCUUUAAUGUUUAUUUCAAUAUAUAUAUAUAUAUAUAUAUAUAUAUAUAUAUAUAUAUAUAUAGGAUUAGAUUAUUUUUAUUUAACGAAAGGAAAGGAAGACGUGGCACAAACAAAAAAAAUAACACAAAAAAUAAGCGUUUUUUAGCAUCACAAGCCAAACGAAACAUAUCAUACUUUUGUUAAGAUAAAAAAGCCCUGUCCUCUUACAGGAUGAUCUAGUAUUGCUUGUAUAAUAAAACAGCAGGUUCUUUGUGUGCAAAAAGAAAGCCAUAAAAAGUGUUUGUGAGACACGCAAAACAAAUAUUGACUGUAUGUAUAUCAGACGCAUCUCACAACAUAAGACAUCAUACGAAAAUAAUACCUCUUCAAAAAGCAAGAAAUGUCUUACUGUAAUGGAGUCUACAUCCAGAACUAUACAGGCAGGCAUUAGGACUGUGGUAGACUUGGGAUGGCCUGCUGUGCACAAUUAGGACGUUUUUUUUAUUUUUUUUAUUCAAAGCUGUUGAGAACAGAGGGCUAGAUUGGCAUGGAAUGUUUCCUUAAUAACCUUGUUAAACAUGGCCAAUCAUAGCCUUUCUGUCUUCCACAAGUUGUAUAUAAACCUGCUGAUUAGCUUCAAGGAGGAGGCUAGCACGUGGGUGGUGAGAGGACUGGUUCCUUUGUGUACACACUAUGUUGUAUCUGUUGAGUUUGUUUUGCAGGAGCUGAGCCUAACUCUGUCUGCUUAUCAGACAGUUCAACGUGGAGUGGAGGGCUGCUCUACAAAGACAUAGUAAAAGAAAAAAAAAAAGAAUAAAGCUACUACUGUAGAUCUCCAGAACAGGCCGGGUAUUGAUUAGCUUAUGAGAUCUGACAGUAUCACCAAAGGCAGUAGCAACAUGCAAGCAUUUUGUUAUCCAAAUUCCAAAGGAGAAAAUUGUUUUUUUUUUGUUUAUUUUGUCUCUUAGUGAUGAAUGUUAGGUUAGUGUUAUGCAAUCAAGGUUUACAGAAUCCAGCUACAUUUAUAUGUGUAUGACAGUAUUCAGUUAUGUGUAGCACUUCAUUUUAAUGCUUAAAGAUCUAAUCACCAGAAAAAUAAAUAAUUAAACGACUUGCUUACUGUCACAAAGAUAUAUGGCCAGCUGUUUUCAAAAGAGGUUAGAAAUAUGUUUCAUAUUUAUCUUUUUUAUGUACAUUAGGAGAGCUUAUCUCACUCUGACGAAGCACCUUAUGCAACUCUUCAAAACACUUGUCACCUUGUCAGGAACGGAAUUACAAACAUAAACCGAAUCAUUGCUUAUUAAUAUGCUGUGACUGUUGUUUCCUCAGCUAGCUGACAGUUUCUGAAGAUCUCUGGAUGCAGGUACCAGAUAUCAUGGACGUCUUUAUACUUUCGACUUCAAAAUACCAGCUUUGCAUUAUAUUUGAAGGUAUGCUGGCUUGGGGAAAGCAAGUGAUCUGCUUUAAAAGCACUCAAGGAGAAUUAGACUCUGGGAAGAUGUACAGCUAUACUGUUUUCAAUGAGUGUAAUAUGGCAUUAUAACUUUAUAUUUAAAAUAAGUAGCUUAAAAUUACAUUUAAACAGUUUUCCUUCCCUUUCCUUUUUAUGAUAUUUGCAAUCGUUCUUAUUUUCAUUUUUCAGCAUUUUUUUCAGGUAAUUGUAAAGAGUGUUGUUGCUCAGAUAUUGCACUUUUAUUUAUUUUUUAUUUGAAAAGCACAGCAACUGAUUGAAGCUGCCAGGUUUUUUUUUUCUCAUUCAGUUUAUGGCUAUCAGUUGUGUCCCUUUAGUCUGAUCCCUCCCUGAACCCAUUUUGUCUUGCUGCAGGGUAGUUUGAGUAAUACUUCAAUUAGUGAUAGCCUAGCACUAUGUUCAUACAAUCUAUUUUGCUGUCCAGUCGGAGAUCACAAUAUGAUUGUUUUGGCUUUUUAGAGGGGUCAAGGGGUGCUGCAGGCAGCUAUGAAAAUCCAGUACUGGAAUGGCAAAGCGCAAGAGAAAUUAGAAGUGAUAAGUUGAUGGGCUUUGUAAAACAAUUCAGAGCACUUUCCUAGGAAAAAGACAACCAAUAAAACUCUAUAUUUGAGAAACAACACUCUGAAAUACUCAGAACACUGCAAGUUUCAUUAUCCGUUAUCAUUAACGGAAAUGGUAACAAUGUAAUUUGAAGCUACUUAAACUAAGUCAUAAGGAGUUCAUUUCGACCUCAUUAAGUGAUUAAAAAGAUCAACUCUGAGAGAUUUAAAUGAACUCCAUCUAUAUAUUUAAAGUAGUUAAUUCAUCUCUAAUCAUCCACAUUGAUGAGCAAAAUUGGAAAGCACACUGCAAUUCAAACUUAUUUUGCACCUGCAGUACAGAAUAUCAAAACUCAUUUUGCAAUUCAGCGCAUAUAAAAUGGUAAUGUAGUUAAAUCCUUUUUAUAGCAGAUGGUUAUAUACUAAAUGACAUUUCAAACUCAUAUCCCAAUAUCAAUAUUAACAAUGAUUUUUAUAAAUCAAAGUGCAUGGGGGCUCCCUAGUGGCGCAUCCAGUAAAGGCGCUCCACGUGGAGUGCAGGAUGCGCCCUAUAGCCUGGACGUCACCGGUUCAAGUCCAGGCUAUUCCACUGCCGACCGUGAAUGGGAGUCCCCAGGGGGUGGCGCACAAUUGGCCGAGCGCUGCCUGGGGGUGGAGGGCUUAGGUCGGCCAGGGUGUCCUCGGCUCGCCGCGCACCAGCGACCCCUAUAGUCUGGCUGGGCACCUGCAGGCUUGCCUGUAAGCUGCCCAGAGCUGCGUCCUCCGACACUAGCUCUGAGAUGGCUGCAUGGUGGGCCUGCAGUGUGAAGAAGUGGUCGGUUGACGGCACACGCUUCGGAGGACAUAUGUGUUCGUCUUCACCGCUCCCAAGUCAGCGCGGGAGUGGUAGCAGUGAUUUGAGCUUAAAAAUAAUGGGCUAUUCCAAAUUGGGAGAAAAAAAAGAUUAAAAAAACAAUUGCUGAAUAUUAAAUUUAAAAAAAUAAAUAAAUAAAAUCAAAGUGCACUUACAAAAGUUGUCAUUUCCUUCAAGGGGUUUACGUAAAAGUUAUAGAUUCAGUAGACAGUGUGAACCUCAGAAUUAAUGACAGAGUUGUGUUUUAAACAGUGCUGUGCAGUUAUGUAACCAAGAGUUGCUGCAGAUGCAGAGAACAGCCUGCAAAUCAAAGUUGAAGACAAAAAAUCUGUGCUUUAUUUUGGCAGCCGUUUAGUGAGAAGUAACAUGAAUUUAGAAUAAACGGAUUGAAAACAAAACAAACAAAAAACAAACAAAUAAAUCAGUGACAGCCAUACAUCUGACAGCCUUAAAUUUUGACUUUGAGAUGAGAGGAUUUCCAGUUGUACUACAGGAGAUUUUGCCUGCUUCUCAACAUCUUGCAUCAAAUACAAUUAACUUGCCUGAUAAACAAUUCAGGAGGUCAUUGGGAUAGUGUGGUUUCUUUCUUUAUUAUUUUUUUUAUAGAUUUGUUAUACAAAAUGUCAUGUAUUUGCCUAUAUAUAACACGUGAUUCAAUAAUACUAAAAAUAAUUUGUUUGUGCAUUUUAUAAAGUGAUUCUGAAAUAUCAGUUUUAUACAUUUAGCCAGGUGCAAAACAGAGAAGAAGCAGAAAAGGCUAAAAAGACAGUACAAACUAACCUGCCGUUCUUAUCCUUCCAUUAUGUACCCCAUAGCAACCACAAGGGAAAUAAUUUAGUGAAAAAACAAACAAACAAAACAAACAUUAGCCAAGUGCUUCACUAACUUGCAGCAUAUAAAACUCUUCUGGGAUAUGAAAGAACAUUUCAAACACUUGUGGAGAAAUAACCAAUGUGAAAGUUUCCAAGCUUAAAUCUUACAUUUAUGUCCAUUUGUGAAUUCUAAUAAGAUCUUAUUCUUUUAUAUAAGCUGACUAUGAUUAUAGUGCAGAAAACAGUUUUUAUAUAUAUAUAUAUAUAUUCUAAAGAACGAUCAGAUACUCAAUUAAUCUCUCUGCCGAGCUCCAGCUCUGUUAAGCUUUGCUAAUUGCACAAGAACAAUGGAUCUCUGUUUGAAAUCAGCUAAUACAAAAGGGAUUUGUCAGAAAUGAACAAGGCUGUAGUGCAGACACAUGCAUUAAUUGAAAUUAUGUUUUAUUAGAGUCAAAAUGUCAAGAUCAUGAAAUAAAGCACUUUCUAUAUAAAAUAGAACAUGUCAGUAUUAUUUGUGCAGAUCUUGUGAAAUAGUUAUAGUUCAACCUUACAGCACAAACAAUGGUAAUGGAGCUUAAAUUUGAACUGUAUCAGGAAUCCAAAGUCUUCAAAAUUGUAUGUAUGUUAGAAGAAAUGUUAGAAGAAACAUUUAAGCAUAAUCAUAAGGGUUUUAAUACCUUUUUUUUUUUUUAAACGCCGGGAAUAGAUGCCUGUGCUGGGAAUUAAUUUGUGUUCAGAAGUGUUUGCCUUGGAGCUGCAAAUUGGCAGCAGAAGGGAUCUGAAAACCAGAGUGAAACUGAGACGUUUUAUAAUACAAAUUCAAUUCCUUUUUUCACUGAGGUUCAGGCUUGCCAAGCCAACAAAUGGAAACAAAUAAAUACAUAAUUCAUUAGUGUAUAAAAUGGUACUGUAACUUCAGUUAAACUGGAGUGUACAGUAACUACAGUGUAACUGCAAUUUGACAUCACUCCAAAAAUCUGAUGUAGACAAUGCUUUUAAACCGCUGUCUCUGAUGUUGUUAAUACCAAUUUACUGCACUUUUGAGAGAAUUUAACUGAGUUGUGUGAUAUGGUUGGAGCCAUAAAACACCCACUAUAAACAGUACUAAACUAUAUUGGUACAAGACAAAUGCUCAGCAGUAAUAUUUAUUUUCUCUUCGUUCCACCCUUUUGAGGAAACAAUCGCUAUCGAUUUUGCUGAUGAAAAUGACCUCUGGUGAAAUAAUCUAAAACCUUGGCUCAUCUCUGGUGUAGAGUUUAGAUCUUGGCCCAAAAGUGAGAACAGGGAUCUAAUCCAGAAAUCCAGCUCACAAAAACAAGGGCCAGAGGGCUUGGCUUUAUGACACAAAGUUAUUUGUUUACCAGGAACAGUAAUACUUACUUGCUGUCUAUGGCCUGCAGCAUAGCUGUACACAGAUCAGAUACUCCAGUUUGUAUACCCUUGUAAAAAAAAUAAGCCACUAGUAUCUACUGUGAAUGCCCCGUAGCUUAAUAAAGUACCAACCAAUAUAUAUAUAUAUAUAUAUAUAUAUAUUUAUAAUCUCUAUAGUGCUCCCUAGAAUAAAGGCAUGCUGAGAUUAAUUUACUUUAUACAGCUUAUCUUCCUGAUCCACAGCCUCUAUGGGGCAAAUAAUGAAUCUCAUUUAGAAGUUGUUUUACGAUUUACCCACUUUAUACAGGCCCAGGAAAUGGAAUUAGCAUUAUUAUUUAUAUUUAUUUUUUUACCCAAUGGAUAAUGAUGAUACCAUUUACUCUAUAUGCCUGGUACUAUAUAAAUGAAAUGCUCCUUAUUCUAAAAUCAAUGAAAGGGCCUGGAAUGUUAAAUUCUGAUAAAUCGAUGGUUAUUCCAUGUCCUAUGUCUUAUAUUUCAAGCCCUAAAUGAAGAGGCUCCAACUUAUCUAUGUCGUAUAAUAGGUGUUCAUAAAAUAAACCAAUUGAGUUGUAUUUUGUCUCAAAACCUGCUGACCCAAACAAUGUAAAGCAAUUCUUUUGAGAACUUUAUUGGCUGAUAGUUGUGGAUCAAAUUUCCUUUUUCAAGAUAAAGAGAACAAAAAACAAAUCUCUCCAACAGCAACAUAAGUCGUGAAAUACUGACUCUAAUAUAAACAUAUACCAGAUUUACUGAGCUUGCUCAUUUAGCAGGAAUUGCAGGAUGGCACAAUGCAUAAUUAUGAUGUUUAUGGUUGAACAACCAUGACGAGCAAACUGAAAGAACAUAUUUGCAGUCUAUUUGUGGCCAGCGUGUUCCAUUUUGCAAGGACCAUAGUGGGAUUUAGUUUGACUUCAGUCCUUUUUUUCAAAAGGGACUAGGCCUCUGAGCUCCUGCCAGAAUACUUCUGUCACCAGUGAUCUCUCACUGUCUCAUCUGAUCCCCACAGCACAUCGAUUUUAUCUCCUAAGAACAACUGCUUUGAGGAAUUGAUAUGCACUCUGAACAUAAUGUACAACCUUUUUACUGAACUGACAAUCUUUAUAUUAUUGAUUCCAGCUUUAUUAUAUUACAUGUUCACUGUGGUUCAA